CAAAAAAUACUCCUACAAUAUUGUUUUUGGAGAGCAUUAGUCUAUGGCUGUAUUAACUGUAUGAAAACCAUUCAUUUCCAACAGAACAGGGAUUGUCUGUCCCCCUCCCCUCUUUUCACCAUACUGAUUUGGUUCUUAUCUAGGGUUCCAGCUGUAAUGGUUGUUGUCGUUGCUGCUGUGCUGCUCCCAUCCUCUUCCUGCAGUGUUAAAUUAGUUUCACUCAAGGGGAUUAGAAAAGGCGGAGGCAUCUCUACCGACUACUACACACCAAAAAUUCCUACAGAAGGAACACCACAUGAAAAUUCCUGCAGAAGGAACACCAUAUGCAUGAAGCACUGGUUUAAGAAGAAAAUGGAGGGGAUCAUCUGCCAAGGACAAGGCGACAUCAGAUUCUUCUGUCUCUAGAAGCUCUGAUUAAAUCAAAUGAUUGAUGCAAACAGUGAUGGGUGUCAUCUUUAUUGCUUGGAUGGCAAUUUGCUAUGCUGUGAUGGUUGUCCAGCUGCAUUUCAUUUGAAAAUGUGGGAUCUUUUGCCUGAAGGUGAUUAGAAUUGUCCUAAGUGUUUACUACAGAAUAAUGGUGUAUAGAGGAAUAUUGCAAAUCCUAUUAGAUGGGCUGAGAUUCAAGGAAUCAAUCCACGUGGCAUGGCUGACUAUACUUUGGCACUUGCAGCUAUCUUUUGGUGUAAGUUGUUUCGGACCCCUUCCUCUGGUGUUACAUGUAUAUCUUUCUGAAUGAUUUUUUAGGCUCUGGUGUGCUUUUUAAAAGAUGUCCCUCUGCUAUAUGACCUCCUAUAUUUUUCAAAAACUACAUAGUGGUAUAAUCCAACUAGGAUGCUGAAACUUAUCUGCAAAUUAUUGGUUGUGAUACAAUCCAACAGCCUCUUGUUCAGGAGAAACCUGAGAGUACUUUAGUGUAUGGUAGGUCUUGUUAAUAUCAACCCAUAGCUGCCCAUUCUCUGAAAAUAGCCAAUGCCAUUUGCAGAUAAAAGUAGACACUAGGUAAAUGUUGAAGGUCGACCGUGCAACUAGAAGAAGGCAAAAAGAAGUAGCAACAUAGGUUGAGGAACAAUUUUGGUGCACUGAACAAGAAAACAACACAAUAUCUGAAUAUGUUAUUUGUUAUAAGAGCUUUCUGCAGUACGUUUGCUCCUGCUAGAGAGUUUGCCCCAUGAUCGAAUAAUUCAGCUUCAAGGUUUAUCUCCUUUGGUUCAUCUUGCAUUGGGUUUGUCACACUGAUUCCACUCCAUGGUCAGGGAUCAGAGGCAUCCUGGAAGCCCUAGCCCCAGCCCACAGUGAUGCUGCUUCAGCCUGCCAUUUGGUUCUAGACUCUACAACACCCAUUUUUCCAUGAUGAGGUUCAAAGUCUGUUGGAAACCCGCUUGUUUGCUCGCAUUGCCAGUUGAGAAGUUUGUUCCAAAUUCCCUAUAUGCUGAAAGUAACGGCAAGCUCUUAUGCCCCAGUUAAGGAGUCUAUAUUUCUUAUAUUGUCACGAAGAAUUCACUAAUUUUAUACCCCUUUCUUGCAAUACCAAUUGCAAUUGGUAGUUUUAGAUAUGGCUAAUGAUGAUGGUGCAUUGCAAGUCGGCCAGGAUGCCACAAAGCUAUUGUUCAUCACGUCCUUUUUAAUAGCCUUCCCAAUGACUGAACAUUGUUUUCAUAUGAGGUGUGCAAUUUUUAGUAAGAAAUAAAUUAUUUUAUUUAUUUAUUUUUGUAUGGUGAUAGUUUUGAGCUGCAACAUAUGAACAAGGAGUUCCUACAUGUAUAUUUGAACCUUUGAUUCGGCAAGAGGAGUCAGAGCUUUAGUUAAUACAUAUGGUUUAUUUAGAGUAGUCUUAA